UACGUAGGUGGCAAGCGUUGUCCGGAAUUAUUGGGCGUAAAGCGCGCGCAGGCGGUCUCUUAAGUCUGAUGUGAAAUCCCGUGGCUUAACCACGGGCGGUCAUUGGAAACUGGGGGACUUGAGUGCAGAAGAGAAGAGCGGAAUUCCACGUGUAGCGGUGAAAUGCGUAGAGAUGUGGAGGAACACCAGUGGCGUAGGCGGCUCUUUGGUCUGUAACUGACGCUGAGGCGCGAAAGCGUGGGGAGCAAACAGG
rnacentral:rRNA from 1 species